rnacentral:sRNA from 1 species
GCCAGGCACGGUGGUGCAUGCCUGUAAUCCCAGUGGCUCAGGAGGCUAAGGUAGGAGGAUUGUGGGUCCAAAGCCAGAUUCAGCAACUUAGUGAGGCACUAAGCAACUCAGUGAGACCCUGUCUUUA